CGGGAACUACGCUCAACGGCAGAGCGGCAGGGUCGCGCCCUGAGUUGGUGGUUCGAGUCCACCCGUCCCGACCA
rnacentral:tRNA from 1 species